UAACUAAGCUACUUCUGGUGAACCAGAGCAGUGCACGGAAAUGCCGUUUACCUUCCCGCCGGAGCGGUACCUAUUUAUCUACUUGCACUUUGACAUGCUUUCGAACUGCUAGGUUGGCAGGAGCAAGGACCGAGCAACGGGAGCUCACCCUGUCGUGGGGAUUCGAACUGCCAACCUUCUGAUCGGCAAGCCCUAGGCUCUGUGGUUUAACCCACAGCGCCACCCAUGUCCCUUAAGCUGGGACAUAAUAGAGGCUUAAAAAAUUAUGCAUGGUAUGGCUAGAGAAUGUGGAUAGUGAGGUUUUCCUCCUUUCUCAUAAUACCAUAAUUGUGGGUCAUCCAAAGCAAAAUUGGUAGUAGAUUAAAGAUUGACACAAUAACAUUCACACAACACUUAACUAAUUUAUGGAAGUUGUUGCCACAGAAUGUGGUAGUGGCUUUUUACUUAGAAGGCCUCUAACUUUAUGGUGCUGCCUGUUUUGCAUAUGAUACAGCUCCCUUGCCCAAGGCAGCUAAAAUUUCUGGUCAGUGCCUGGGUGGAAAACCAGCUAUAAAAUCCUGUAUGUUGCCUAUAACUUCCAUGAUAGAAGAAAAGCAGGAUAUCAAUGCACUGAAUAAAUAGAGGGGAUUAAUCAGAUUCAUGGUUGUGCAAUAUUUGUCAUGACUGACUAAAUCACACCUCUAUGUUCAGAGGCGAUAAACCUCUACAUACCAGUUGGGGUGGGAGAACAGCAUAAGAGGACUGUUGCCUUCUUAUGUGUAUCUCAAGAGCAUAUGUUUGGCCACUGUGGAAAACAGGAUGCGUGACUAGAUAUUCCUUUGGUCUGAUCCAGAAGGGCUCUUUUAUGUUCUUACUUACUACCAGCUCAGCAUGUGAAAUUACAUGAAUGUAUAAAGUACAGGGUAAGAUGGAAUUGACCCCUCUGUGUUAGAUAUUGAAUCUAAGGAAGAUAGCCCUGUCUCUCUUUAGCUGCUAUUGAAACCAUAGAAUGGGUCGUGUCCUUUGAAACAUCAUCUGCCUCAUUAUGCAACUAGAGCCCUCUCCCCCUGUGUUCUGACUCCUGGAUGCCCCCACAUUACCCUGUCUCGUUGGAGUGUGGGUCACUGCUGUUAUUUCCCUCCCAAGUUACAAGAGCCAUAAAAUUAUUCUCCAAAGGGAAAUGAUUGCAGCAGAUGCCACCUCCCCAGUUCCCUCAAGUUCCAGACAUGGAUGUGAUCAAUGGCAUAAACAAACAAGCGCAUCAGCGCUCCAGCGUCUGCUGUGAACAAGGACAAGUAAUCUUAAUUAAGGUUUUGUCCCAAAACUUUCUAAAAUAUGGAGAGCUUGCACUCUCAGUCUUAAUAAAGUGCUACAAAUGAAGAACUAAUUUAUAUUUAACAAGGCAUUUACUGGAUGUUAGUCAACUAAGGAUUGAUUUAUCUAAAAACAAAAAAGUGGAGAGUUAUAGCUGUCUCAUCAGCUUACAACUGUCAAAUUCUAAUAAAAGUUUUAGUCUAAUAAAAGUAAUCAACCUAGUGUAUGUUAGCAGGCACUAUACAUUUUGCUAAAGUGCUAGUGAUCAUCAGCAAGGAGGAUUGUAUGUCAUGGGGUUUAAAGAUUCAUUUUAUUUAUUCACUCUGAAGAUUCAUCUCCUAUCCAUCCAAUGCAUUCAGUUGCUCAGACUAUCUUACAAUGAUUAUAAUACAACUACUGUAUCCUGUAAUCAAACAAUUUAAAACAAAGUAAUAUAAAAAUGUAAACAAGCUCAGCCAAUAAAAGACUAUACAAAGCACCAUCUGCCUAGCAAUACAAAAGCUUACCAGAACAGAAAAGCUUUCAAUAAUAGGCAGAAAAUGGCAAGGGAGGGUGCCAAGCAAACCUUAUGGAAUAUGGUGUCCAUUGGGUGCAGCUACCAAGAAGGUCCUAUCUCUUGUCCCAGACAAGCAUUCCUCCAGGUCAGGCAGGAUACAAAAAAGGGCCUCUCCAAUGGAGAUUAGGGAGGAGACAGGUUAUUUAAGAUGAAUUGGCCCCUGAAUUUUCCUGGACCCAAGCCAUUUAGAGCUUUAUAGGUAAUCACCAGCACUUGUGGCCAGAAACAAUUUGGCAAGUAGUUGCAGGAUAGGUGUGAUAUGAUCCCAUGCUUGAACACCCGCUAACAUCCUUGUUGCCACCUGGACUGACGGAAGCAUCCAAGACUCUUCAAAGGUAGCCCUGUAUAUAAAGCAUUGGACUUAUCCAGUCUGAUUAUAUCUAAGAUCUUCGCUGAAUGUCAGAAUUCAGAAAAGAAUAGAAUGAAAGUAGAGUAGAGAAGGAGAAAUAAGGAAAUGUGUUUAAGUUAAAUGAAAAAGUAAAAUUGUGCUAAGAGAAUGGUUGGAAGUCAAGUCACUACAUGGGUGUGGGUGUAGGGUAAGUUUAUAGGUAUGUAUGGUAUAGUUAUAUGGUUAUGUCUUUUGUUAAGAGGGUAAGGUAUGGUAUUUUAUUUGAUUAUAUAAUGAUGUAUUGAAUAGUAUUGUAAUGAAUAAUGUAUGUAUGUCUUAUAUGUUUUACAUGUUAAUAAAAAAUAUUUUUUUAAAAAAAGAAUGUCAGGUGAAGAAAUAGGAGUACCUCUGCUGAUGGAGUUCAGUGAGGUCUUCAACUGGUUUGUGAUGUUUUCUUGAGGCGUUACAAUGUGCAGCCCUUAUUGCAAAAUUUUAUUUGGAAGGGAGCAGUUGUCCUGUUGGAGCAAACCAUCCUUGGAAAAAAAUAAGACAUAAGCAGAAUAACAUGGUAGAAUCCUAAAAUGGAAUGAACUCUUAUCACUUCAGACUGGAGUGCAGAUAGGAAAUUACCUCUUUUGAAUACUCUCUUGCAUAUUAUUUUUUUUUAAAUGCCAAACUCACAUCAAUGCAAGUAGAAUGCUGGGACAUCAAAAAGUGAAGUGGAUAAGACAACUCCCCACCCCAAUUUUCUAGUUGCAGGGAGAUUUUUAAUUUAACGCAAAAGAAUAGUUUUUUAUAAAAAUUCCUCUCUAGAUUCUACCACCACAUUCUAAUGCAUGGGAAUAACAAGCUUAAGUUUCCAUGUAUAACUGGGUAAUAUUUGUAGGACUAAUUUAAUUGUGUGUUUCCCCAUUUCCCUAAGCUGUCCUUCUUUCCAGACUUGCUGAGAAAGCACCUGGGGAAAGGGUCAUGCUGUUCACUUCGGUGGACAAAUUUCUUAAACAAACAGAGAGAUACUUAACCACAAACAGACUCCAGGAAGAGAAGUAUCUUCCUGCCAGGGUGGGAAGCUAGAGAGUGAGUUCAGUGUCCCUGGGUGUUUACAAUUCCAGCUGCCCUGACUAUGAAUUGCUUAUUUUUGGACAAUAGGGCACAGACACUAUAAUUUGGUGUGUGAUCAUUGACACACCCUCUCCUUUGUCUUCCUUUCAAAGCCAAUAUCUCAGGCCCAGAUGGGUUAAUACAUAAUGCAGACAUGCAAGUAAUUGGCUGCCUUUGUAUAGCAGUCAGUCAUAGCUCGCUGUCCCUCUGAUCCACUAUUAGUGGCCAUGCAAACACUCCUUCCACCUAAUUAAGCACAGCUUUGAAAAUACCCUUCCCAAUGAUGUUCCAGUCCCAAGCUAGUGAUUCACAUAUGAGCCCCUACCUGUUAAACCUGCAAUCUCACUCUCUUCUGGGAUAGAAUAUCCCGGCCCGCCCCCAGGUGACCCAGCUGCUUGCUGGGGAUGCUUAGGACCUAAAGGGAGUGGGGAGUGAUAAAUGAUCUUUAGAAUAGUCUGUAUUAAAGAGUUGGAAAUGGGAUGUUAAUAAACCCCAAGCCACUAAUUUAGAGAACACAUGCUCUCCAGGCUAAACCAGUGCCCUGAAACAAUGGCCAAUGAUAAACAUGGCCUUUGCCAAGCAACUGUCUUUCCAAAGGCAGCUUUUGUGCAUUUGUGUACCUAUGCAUGGUAAGUCCAGCUAAUUUUUUGCCCUGUAUAUACCAUUCACCUGGUGUAACAUGUAGGUCUAUUUUACUUAGGUGCUGUCCUGGGAAAGCCUGUCUUGUCUUUCUGCCAGUAACCUGAGAUUUUUAUAACUAAGUGUAGUGUUACUUUCUAGUAUAGUGUAAAGUGCUUGUCUGAACUAGGAAGAUUCAGGUUCAAAUCCCCACUCAGCUAUGAAGCUCCCUGGGUGAUUUCAUCUCUCAGCCAAAUCUACCUUAAAAAGUAGUUGUGAGGAUCCAGUUAGCAGGGAAAAGAACCAUGUACACCACUCUGAGCUUGAAGGAAAUGUGGAUAUAAUUUAAAGAAAAUGAAAUGAAUAAAAGUGUUCUUGAACCACUGACUACCCUUUGAUCCCAGCAGAAAAUAUAUUUGUAUUGCCAAUCUGUUAUAUUGAUUAGGAUUCUGGCAUGUAUAAAAUAUAUGGUGAUAUUUUUUUCAGAAUUGUGGUCAUGAGAACAUUAUCUCAAUAUAUUCCAACUUAUCAUGCCCAACACCUGCUCAUCUAAUGCAAGCAGAAAUGAUGAAUUUGAACCACCAGUGUAUCAGGCUCCUUUAUAUUUUGCUCAUCUGCUAGUCAUGUGUGCUGACGUCUCCAAGCGCUGCCCCAAGGACAUCCUGAAUAAAAACGAACACUCCUUACUCCUUUAUUAGGGAUUAUCAAAAAAUAAGAGGGAAAAUUUGAAUUUUGCUGACUCUGGCCUAGGGUGUAAGAGUGAAAGCUGAAUUUGGUCUAAUUACAAAGAGGAUAAUUGCCACAUUAGGAGUCCUUGAAUAAUGUUUCAUGUUACUGUUCUUUGCAGCAGGUAUAAUCUCAUACACCAGGUAGGGUAUCAAAUGCCCUGCAAAUAUUUGUGCAAACUCUGCUUUAAUUGUAUCUUCUCAAUUGGAUGGACAUAGUCCCUCUAUCCAAUCAGGACAAUCCCAGAUCUUGAUUUUCACAUGGUAUUUGAACAGAGAUAAUGUUGCCCUCAUCAUUUCAGCCUACUCAUUGUGCCUAAUAACAUUAAUACUUAGCACUUCCCAUGCACUAUUGUAUUGGAAUCCUUACAACAACCUUGUAAGGUAGGUCAGUAUUAUCUCCAUACUGCAGGUGGGGUGAAGGACCAAGCCCACCUAGUAAAUUCAUGGCAGAGGUGAGAUUAAAUCAGGUAUUUGGUGUUUCAGAGAGGCUCUCUUAUGCAUUAUGCUAUUUCAUCCACUAAUAAAAUUCAAAAUAUGCCUACUG